rnacentral:rRNA from 1 species
GGGUGCGAUCAUACCAGCGUUAAUGCACCAGAUCCCAUCAGAACUUCGCAGUUAAGCGCGCUUGGGCUA